CACCUAUUAUACAGACUGCUUAAUCGUUCAAAAUUUAUCAAAAAUUAACAAGGACAUAGAAAAUUGGAAAAACAUAACUAGCAAGGAAAGUGUUAACAUAUGCAUGUUGAAUUUGUAUCCUACAGGCAGAUACAACUUUCUAUGGCAUCUUGUAAACAUUGCUUGUAUGUGAGGCAAUAUAACCAUAAAAGUACAUUUCUUUCUUUGAGCCAUGACAUGGAUGUGACAGUGUUAUGGCUUAUAUAGAUGUCCCCCUAAAGCCUCAUGUACUCAUAAAUGGGGCUUUGGGGAGGUGGAGGGAUCAUAGGUAUGUGAUACUGGAUUAUAGGUAUGUGAUAACUGGAUUAGUCCACUAAUUGGUUUAGUGUAGUAGUGGGUAAUAGAUUUACUGAAGAGGGAACCCCUACCCUGGUUUUGUGUGGCACCAACAAAUAGGCUUAUGGCCUGGAUGGAAUAUAAAGGGAAAGAAGGAAGGCAGGCUUGCUGCUUCUGCCUACCCUGAUAUUGACUGUUUCUCCUCUGCCAUGCCAUGCUGCCCUGCCUUGGAGCCAGAUGAUCAUGGAUUGAAACCUCUACAAAUGGCUGACCAGUAAUAGCUGCAGCUCUACACCAGAUGCUAACAUCAGCAAAGCAGACACCCCCUCUGACUGGCUGCCAUCAUUGUGCAGGGUCUCAUUAAGUUGCCCAGGCUGAACUCAAACUUGCAGUCUUCCUGUCUCAGUCUCUGUGUUGAGAUUGCAGGUGUGCACCACCAUGCCCAGGUAGCACCCCACCCUCUAAUCAGAGUGAUUAUGUUUCUGUUUGAAACCUAAUAUGCAUAUAGCUUUCUUAUUCUUUUCUCAAUCUUUUCUGAAAGUGUUGGAACUUGGUUUAUAUUUAGUGUAUUUAGAUUUAACAUUAUUUGUUUUCUAUUUGUUCUGCCUGCUCAAUGUUUUCGUUCCUUUGAUUUCUUUUGGAUUAAGAACUUUACUAACC
rnacentral:lncRNA from 1 species